CGCGUAGGCGGACUUUCAAGUCGGAUGUGAAAUCUCCAGGCUCAACUUGGAGCUUGCAUCCGAUACUGUUGGUCUUGAGUGCAUUAGAGGAAAGCGGAAUUCCAGGUGUAGCGGUGGAAUGCGUAGAUAUCUGGAAGAACACCAGUAGCGAAGGCGGCUUUCUGGGAUGUUACUGACGCUGAAGCACGAAGGCUAGGGUAGCAAACA
rnacentral:rRNA from 1 species